GCAUGUUUCUUGGAAAUUCUCUUAUUUCUUGGAAAAGCAAAAAGCAAGAUAGGGUGUCUAAGUCCUCUAUGAGUCAGGGUAUCGUGUUAUAUCCUCUGCAUGUUCUGAGAUCAUUUGGCUUUGAGAUAGUCUACUAAUUACAAAAUUCAAGGUCAGCUGAAUAUGGUCUACUAAAUGCAAAAGUCAAGGACAGCUGAUUAUGAGAUCUGGUCUACUAAAUGCAAAAGUCAAGGACAGCUGAUUAUGGGAUCCAGUCUACUAAUUACAAAAGUCAAGGGCAGCUGAUUAUGGUCUAGUAAUUGCACUAAUCAAGGGCAGCUGAUUAUGGUUUACUAUAUUAGCUGUAUAUUAGCAUAUCUGUAAUUAAUAUAUUAGAUAGGUAGAUAUAUUCUAACCAGAAGAGAAGGUACACAGUUUUCUAUAGACAUUCUUUCAAAAAAAAAAAAAACAAAGAUCUAAAUUACAAGAAAGGCUGCCAACCACAAUAUGAUUGACCCAAAAGGAUAUCUUGAAACCAAAUAAUUGAUCAAAAUAAUUAACCCAAGAAGAAUAACAACUCAAAAAGUUUGGAAAGGCGGAGAAAUUCAAAUAACUGGCUCUGAUACUGUGACAAGUUUUCUAGAUCCAAGACUGAAUGCCGUCUUUUGUGCAUCUUUUCCAUUUAAAUAGAAAAACUGUGUACCUUCUCUUCUGGUUAGAAUAUAUCUACCUAUCUAAUAUAUUAAUUACAUAUAUGCUAAUAUACAGCUAAUAUAGUAGACCAUAAUCAGCUACCCUUGAUUAGUGCAAUUAGUAGACCAUAAUCAACUGCCCUUGACUUUUGUAAUUAGUAGACUAGAUCCCAUAAUCAGCUGUCCUUAACUUUUGCAUUUAGUAGACCAGAUCCCAUAAUCAGCUGUCCUUGACUUUUGCAUUUAGUAGACCAUAAUUAGCUGACCUUGACUUUUGUAAUUAGUAGACUAGAUCCCAUUUCCCUUGAUAAUUAAAUGCAUAACAUAGCUAAAUUCAACUAAGUUGCAAAAAAAAAAAAACAUAUAAUGACUAUUUGUAUAAUUUUUCCUGUCACUUGAAUAUUAGCUCAUCACUAUGAUUAGCUGAUUUACAGAAUGAGAUAGUUUUGUAUAGAAGUUGGAGGGAAAUUUUCCAUUUGUGUGUAAAGAAGGAAGAGAUUUGUCCGACAAAAAGAAUCAGGGAUCAAAACAGGCUAGCAGUGAGCAGAUUCCGUCUGUAACAUUUUUACUUCUAAUUCUAGCAAAGGCUCAAGGCUCAUGAUAAAUGCAUUUGGAGUAGUAGUAUAGAGGUAAAGAUAUAGCAUACCUUAAUUAGGUAAGGAUGUUGUUUUCUUCUUCAUCUCAAUCCAAAUAUCCAUUCUUGAUUUCAUUAGUUUCUUUUGUGCCAGAUUCCCCUACUUGAAGGAAUCAGUGUGCUUGAUUCUACAUGGAUUAUUUGAAACAAUAUGUUCUUACUUUCAAAUUUUUAUGUAUAGUACUUACUGCUUUCUUAAAUUUUUUGUACUUUAUCAAACAAAUUAGGUCCAAAAUAACUUUAGCAACCAUGUUGAACUUAGGUACCUACUCCUAGGCGGGGCCUAAUGCCCUAGUUAUAUUAGGCAGAGGACUUGGACAGACAAUUUAGACAGGAUCUUAAAGGUGUGGUUGGCCUUUCUGGAGUUAGGAGGGUUUUUGAUCUUGAGGUUAGUACUAUGAACAGUCAAGUCUUCAAAGCAAUUGUAAAAGACAUGGACAUUUCAAAAGUUAUAGCUGUAUUGUUUUCAUUAAUCGUAAUUGUCAAAUACCAUAAAAACUACCACCUUUCUGAAUAAUUAUUUGAAAUUUCGUCAAAUCAGUUGUACUAAUGAUCAUGACAUACUUGCAGAAGACAAUUUGCAUGAAUAAAUCAAUAGAAAAUAGUAUUGAAACUUCAUAACGUGCAAAAGAUGAAUACGUUGUCGUAACAAUACAGUCAACUCUGCAAGAGAGUAAAAAGAAAUAGUAUUGGUAAAUAUUGUAAAACUUCCUAUUGUACUGUUUUAUUAUCAAUACGAUCAAAUCUUUCACAUAAAAAAGUGAGAAUUGUUUAUUGCUACGGUUAAAAAUUUUUGUGUGGUAGAUACAGGAUAUAGUUGGUAUACUACUUUCUACCUUUGGGUGCAACUGUCAGGCAAAUGUGCUAUAUGCAGGGGAAGGAGAAGAAAGUCCCAUGACUUAUUUUGCAGAAGAAAACCCCUUGUCCUCAAGGAUUGGAAGGGUACUUAUUGAACUGAAGGGUAAAAAAAAGCAUGAAUGCUCAACAGGAGAAGAAACUGAUUCAUGUGCAACUUGCUCAGCUCCAUUCUUUGUGGCUAGCAGUUGUUAAUUGUGAAGAUUAAAAGGUGUACCAGGGCAUUCCUUUGUCCGAUAAGACCGAGGGAGUAGUGGCAGUGGUGAAUAAAUCAGGAGCAAGGAGCUGUUUUCAGUCUAUGAAGCAAAUUUAGUGGGAUGGGAUGGUGGAUUUCGAAAUUUAGUCAAGUGGAACCCUUGCAAGAGAAUGGGUGGAGGCCUUGCUACAGAAACUAGAAGCAGAAGCGAAAAGGCCCAAGCCCACAUCACCAAAACGUGCAUGGAAAAAGCACUAGAUGAGCAGCACUUUUUUUUUUUCCCAAAACUUCAUAGGGUACGUUUGGUUCUACAGAAUUAGAAUUGAAUUAGAAUUAAAAUUCUAUAGAAUUGGAAUUCUAUGAAUUGGAAUUUCAAGUCAUUUCAAUUCUUUCGUUUGGGAAAUGCAUAGAAUUGAUACGGAAUUUAUUUGAAAUUCCAAAUUCUUUGUUUGUA